rnacentral:rRNA from 1 species
CUACGGGUCGCUCCAGUGGGGAAUAUUGGACAAUGGGGGCAACCCUGAUCCAGCCAUGCCGCGUGAGUGAUGAAGGCCCUAGGGUUGUAAAGCUCUUUCACCGGUGAAGAUAAUGACGGUAACCGGAGAAGAAGCCCCGGCUAACUUCGUGCCAGCAGCCGCGGUAAUACGAAGGGGGCUAGCGUUGUUCGGAAUUACUGGGCGUAAAGCGCACGUAGGCGGACAUUUAAGUCAGGGGUGAAAUCCCGGGGCUCAACCCCGGAACUGCCUUUGAUACUGGGUGUCUGGAGUCCGGAAGAGGUGAGUGGAAUUCCGGGUGUAGAGGUGAAAUUCGUAGAUAUGCGGAGGAACACCAGUGGCGAAGGCGGCUCACUGGUCCGGUACUGACGCUGAGGUGCGAAAGCGUGGGGAGCAAACAGGAUUAGAUACCCGGGUAGUC